rnacentral:rRNA from 1 species
AGAACGAACGCUGGCGGCAUGCCUAAUACAUGCAAGUCGAACGAACACUUCGGUGUUAGUGGCGCACGGGUGCGUAACGCGUGGGAAUCUGCCCUUGGGUUCGGAAUAACAGCUGGAAACGACUGCUAAUACCGGAUGAUAUCGAAAGAUCAAAGAUUUAUCGCCCAGGGAUGAGCCCGCGUAGGAUUAGCUAGUUGGUGAGGUAAUGGCUCACCAAGGCGACGAUCCGUAACUGGUCUGAGAGGAUGAUCAGUCACACUGGAACUGAGACACGGUCCAGACUCCUACGGGAGGCAGCAGUGGGGAAUAUUGGACAAGUGGGCGAAAGCCUGAUCCAGCCAUGCCGCGUGUG